rnacentral:lncRNA from 1 species
GCCGAAUUGAUUGAUAUUUUUUAGCUUGGAUUCUAGGUAGAGAUCAUCCAUCCAAUCUUUAAUCAUUCUCCGAAGUAAGCAGUCAAGGGUUUAUAUCUUUGGGUGAUGUGCUGGCCGCAAAAAUUAGAGCAGACAAGGCGAUGUCGAACCCCUAGGAUUGGUUCUGCCCAAUGGUUGGCGAAGACGAGCUCUGGCUCUAGUGGGAUACCUCCCCCCCAGU